GACGAACGCUGGCGGCGUGCUUAACACAUGCAAGUCGAACGGAAAGGCCCUGCUUUUGUGGGGUGCUCGAGUGGCGAACGGGUGAGUAACACGUGAGUAACCUGCCCUUGACUUUGGGAUAACUUCAGGAAACUGGGGCUAAUACCGCAUAGGAGCUCCUGCUGCAUGGCGGGGGUUGGAAAGUUUCGGCGGUUGGGGAUGCUCUCGCGGCUUAUCUGCUUGUUGGUGUGGUUGUGGCUUACCCAGGCGUGGACGGGUAGCCAGCCUGAGAGGGUGACCGGCGACAGGGGGACUGAGAUACGGCCCAGACGGCAACGUGAGGCAGGAGUGGAAAACAUUGCGCAAUGGGCCGAAGCCUGAUGCAGCAACGUCGGGUGCGAGAUGACGGCCGUCGGGUUGUAAACCGCGUGCGACUGUGACGAAGACUGAGUGACGGUAACGGAUAAAGAAGCACCGGCUAACUACGUG
rnacentral:rRNA from 1 species